rnacentral:rRNA from 1 species
GAUGAACGCUGGCGGCGUGCCUAAUACAUGCAAGUCGAGCGAACGGACGAGAAGCUUGCUUCUCUGAUGUUAGCGGCGGACGGGUGAGUAACACGUGGAUAACCUACCUAUAAGACUGGGAUAACUUCGGGAAACCGGAGCUAAUACCGGAUGAUAUCUUGAACCGCAUGGUUCAAAAGUGAAAGACGGUCUUGCUGUCACUUAUAGAUGGAUCCGCGCUGCAUUAGCUAGUUGGUAAGGUAACGGCUUACCAAGGCAACGAUGCAUAGCCGACCUGAGAGGGUGAUCGGCCACACUGGAACUGAGACACGGUCCAGACUCCUACGGGAGGCAGCAGUAGGGAAUCUUCCGCAAUGGGCGAAAGCCUGACGGAGCAACGCCGCGUGAGUGAUGAAGGUCUUCGGAUCGUAAAACUCUGUUAUUAGGGAAGAACAUAUGUGUAAGUAACUGUGCACAUCUUGACGGUACCUAAUCAGAAAGCCACGGCUAACUACGU